AUUGAACGCUGGCGGCAUGCCUUACACAUGCAAGUCGAACGGCAGCACGGGUGCUUGCACCUGGUGGCGAGUGGCGAACGGGUGAGUAAUACAUCGGAACAUGUCCUGUAGUGGGGGAUAGCCCGGCGAAAGCCGGAUUAAUACCGCAUACGAUCUACGGAUGAAAGCGGGGGAGCUUCGGGCCUCGCGCGAUAGGGUUGGCCGAUGGCGGAUUAGCUAGUUGGUGGGGUAAAGGCCUACCAAGGCGACGAUCAGUAGCUGGUCUGAGAGGACGACCAGCCACACUGGGACUGAGACACGGCCCAGACUCCUACGGGAGGCAGCAGUGGGGAAUUUUGGACAAUGGGCGAAAGCCUGAUCCAGCAAUGCCGCGUGUGUGAAGAAGGCCUUCGGGUUGUAAAGCACUUUUGUCCGGAAAGAAAUCCUUGGCCCUAAUACGGUCGGGGGAUGACGGUACCGGAAGAAUAAGCACCGGCUAACUACGUG
rnacentral:rRNA from 1 species